rnacentral:rRNA from 1 species
GAUGAACGCUGGCGGCGUGCCUAAUGCAUGCAAGUCGAACGAAACUUCUUUAUCACCGAGUGCUUGCACUCACCGAUAAAGAGUUGAGUGGCGAACGGGUGAGUAACACGUGGGCAACCUGCCCAAAAGAGGGGGAUAACACUUGGAAACAGGUGCUAAUACCACAUAACCAUAGUUACCGCAUGGUAACUAUGUAAAAGGUGGCUAUACUACCGCUUUUGGAUGGGCCCGCGGCGCAUUAGCUAGUUGGUAGGGUAAAGGCUUACCAAGGCAAUGAUGCGUAGCCGAAUUGAGAGGUUGAUCGGCCACAUUGGGACUGAGACACGGCCCAAACUCCUACGGGAGGCAGCAGUAGGGAAUCUUCCACAAUGGGCGAAAGCCUGAUGGAGCAACGCCGCGUGGGUGAAGAAGGUCUUCGGAUCGUAAAACCCUGUUGUUAGAGAAGAAAGUGCGUGAGAGUAACUGUUCACGUUUCGACGGUAUCUAACCAGAAAGCCACUGCUAACUACGUG